UACGGAGGGUGCAAGCGUUGUCCGGAUUUAUUGGGUUUAAAGGGUGCGUAGGCGGCCCGUUAAGUCAGUGGUGAAAGCCUCCAGCUUAACUGGAGAACUGCCAUUGAUACUGACGGGCUUGAGUACAGACGAGGUUGGCGGAAUUGAUUGUGUAGCGGUGAAAUGCAUAGAUACAAUCAAGAACUCCGAUUGCGUAGGCAGCUAACUAGGCUGUAACUGACGCUGAGGCACGAAAGCGUGGGGAGCGAACAGG
rnacentral:rRNA from 1 species